ACCCCUCCCCCGACGCAGUGGCCUGUCCACCAUAGGGAGCAAGCCAAUCCGGGGAGCUGGUCGGAGUCUGAGCAGACGAGGCGCCUGGGAACAGGGACGGCCGGUUUCUCAAAUUUUGGUCAAAGAGACGUCAGAGCACUCAGAAAUGGCAGGGGGAAAACAGCCUUUUCUUGUUAACAAUAACAACUGUAUCAAUAUAAGAGUGGAUCACACCAACAGAAAUGUAAAAGAUCACUUUCUCUGAAGGCAAUUAGGACAGAGAGUGAAUUAGCCAAGCGAGAGUUUGGAGGCCCAACAUGCUGAACAGAAUACACGGUCUAAUGUGCAUUUAAUAACUGCUGAUGUGCAUCUGGAGCUGUCCUUUGCAUCAUUUGAAGAUGCUGAUCCCGCACGUGGCAUUGUAUCACACCGUAGGGGAGCAUCGCUGGUGAAUUAAGGAGAUUCAGGGGACACCUUUGCCACAGGGAUAGUGGACAAAACCUACACAGACUGUAAAUUCCAUUAGCAGGGAAGCAACCCUGUGUGUGUGUGUGUGUGUGUGUGUUGAUAUGAUGUACUUCCUGAUUUUUUAAUCAGGUCUGCGAAAAAUGAGAUAAUGACUGCAGACCAACAGCUGGCUCCUACUUCUGUAUCUGCGGUAGAGGGCACCGAGCUGGAACGCGCUGUGAAGUCAAUCAGCUGUGGGACGGCGCAGGUGAAUGAAGAGCAAUUAACAUUAGUUGACGUCCGACAUGAUGAUGAACAGGAAAAGCGGUUUGUAACUCUUAAUGUCUGUGCACUUACUCUGUUAACGGGUGUUUUAUUCAUGAAUAUGUGUGUGUGUGUGUGUGUGUGUGUGUGUGUGUGUGUGUGUGUUGAUGUGGAGUACUUUUUAAUUUUAAUUUUAUCAGGUCUGUGACUGAUGAUUAAAGAACAAACAGGUGAUAUCCAACAAGCAGCAUUUUUCCAAAGUAUUUGUGUGAACGACAGGGCCAGCACUCCUGUAGCAUACAGUGAUUUACAGCUUGGCGAUACACUCAGAUUACUGGAUGAAUCAGCUUACUCUCAUACAUCUGUGUAUUCUAUCCAUACUGUACCCACUUGUAUGAAACUAGUGGAUACUCCAACAGGCCAAAUAUUGGUGCCGCAUGUUUUCUUAGAGCCGUCAGAACUACCUAAUUUGACUAAAUUUUAUGGGUGCUGUUUAAAUAUUAGUAAUUUAGUAAGCGCUGGGGGAGGCAUUGUUAAAAGUAAUAAGGACGGGAGACUAGAUAAUUUGUGCAACAUGGUGAACAGACGAUUUGAUGAAUUGGAAAGUACUAUGAGUAGAAAGUAGAAAAACUGAUGAAUUGCAGCCAGUAACAACGUCUUAGUAAACACUGUUCUAGCCCAAAGUACAAAAACUGUUGCUUUGUAUAGACAUGUUCAUGCUAGUGACAUUCAAAAACUGAAAACAAAACCCAGCAGAUCUGGAUAAAAAUCAAGGUGAUCUGAUUAACGUUCUUGCUGAAACUCGAAGAGCAGUGUUAGAGUUUAAAUAGUUGACCUGUAAUAACACACGCUUUGA